rnacentral:misc_RNA from 1 species
AACUUUCGGCAACGGAUCUCUCGGGCCUUCCGAACAAGGCGUGCUGGCGGCUGGCGAAACCUGUCCUGCGGGAUACGUUGCCAACGCCUGCGGGCGAGAUCCGUAUUUCUUUGGCAGCAGACCGGCGCCCGGCUGGGCCAGUGCCUCCAAGCAGGUGCCCUGUUGCAAGACCUUCAUCAUGUUUCUGACGGAUGGCGAGGCAAAUGACGACCAGACGAUUCCUGUGGGUCUCCAGGACUAUGCGCACGCGGCUCAUGGUCCGCACUGCACCGGAAGUUAUGCUGGUCCUCCUGCAUCUAAUCCAACGUCCGCGCAAUACUUAAGCAUAUCAAUAAGCGGAGGCU